CAAUAAGGAAAGGUAUAUGUCCAUGUAGAUUCUCAUUCAUCCAGGUCAUGGUUAUCUUGAAGACUUAAAAACAGGCAACUCUACACAGUCCAGUUGCCUGUUUUUAAGUCUUCAAGAUAAGGAAAGGUAUAAGCAUACUGUUUGACACCCAAGAGUCGCUGCUUCAUUUUUACAGCACAUUGUCCUCCUCAGCCAUGCAUGUGUUGCAAGUGCUGAUGUGGCACAACAGUAAUACAAUAAUUUGGUGAUGGUUUUUGAAGCAAUCACAGAUGAUUGAUGAUGUUAUUUUAUCACAAUUCCUUGAGUGUAUGUGAAAAAAAAACAAUAAACUGUGUGUCAUGUCAGCAACUGGGUAGUAAUGUAUUUUCUUUUCUGUCUGCCGUGUGCUUAAGUAAAACUGAUUUCACAACAGGACGGGAGUGAAACUUUAGAACUGUACCAGUAGACUUGCAGAGAGUAAAAUCUGAUCAUAGCCUCAUAGCUAGGUUGACCCAUUUAGUUUAAGGUAAACACAAGCAGGUCUAUUUUUUUCAAUCUUAAUUAUGGUUAUGUUAGUAAACAGUGAUCUGAACCACUGGUUUAGUUGGGAUCACUUUUGUUAAAAUAAUUAAUUACUUGCAUGCAGUAGUAAUAUUUUGGGGUGCUUUCAGCAGGCUCCCUUCUCUUCAGCUUGCUAACAAGGGUGGGCACACUUCUCUGUUCCAUGUGCAUACAUGAAGAUCCAAGGCAGGGAGUACAGCAGCAAAAAAAAAAGGCAGAACAGAGCACAGUGGUUGCAGAGUAAGCAGGCUGAAGCUGUUUAAAUUUUGAUACACAAUACUGCCUCUGGGUAAUCCUCCCUCUGUGUGUGGCACUGGUCCAAAUGGUCCGCAAACCCGAACCAAAAAGGUAACUCCACCAAACAGCCUGGAAGCAGUAGACUCAUUUCUUAAAGUUUUAUGGGAGGUUGGACUUUUACCAGUCUGUUGCCUCUCCUUUGUAGUCAUCAACUAGUCAGGGGCCAGAAAGUAGAUUUAUUUCUGUAUGGUGUAUGUUUCGGCACCAGAAUUGUGAGUACACAAAGAAAAAAAAAAAAAAAAGAAAACAAUUAAAUGUUUGACAAAUUAUCAUGCAGUCCUAGCUCUAGCCUUUAGAUCUCAGUGCUGUAGUGCACUGUUGAAGCCAGCGUCUUGGCUAAUUGUAAGGCUAUAUCAUCCAUGUCAACACCUAUGACAUACUGUGUCUGCACUUUACUCAUUAGUCAUUUCUCAACAAGUCAAAGAGACACAGAUGCCUAAAACAAAAUACUCAUUGUCAUAAUCCCAGAGGCACAGCCUUCAGGCCUUCAGAGAGUGACGGCGGGAGGAGAGAGAUGAGUGAGAGGACAAGGAGAAACAGUAGAAAGAAAAGGGGAGGAGGGAAACUGGUGCUGACUUAGGAAAAUGCCCUGAGAAAGAGAGAGGUGUGUGUGUGUAAAGAGGGAAAGGGGUUUUCCUUCUCGUCAGCCACCUCUCUGUAGUUGAUUUAUAGUUGGUCAGCUGUGGGCACUGUGUUUCUCACAGCGUUUUUGAGUGUAGGCUCUAAAUGUUUCAAUCUGUGAGUCUCAAUCUGGAGUUGGUAUGCCAUCUAGUUUAAGGAAACUCCAGAACAUUGUCUAAUGCCCAAAAACAAAGGCACAGGCAACAAAAGAUCUUAAAUAUCAAACUGUGGUGAAUAUUCGCAACUUAAACAAUGUGCAAGAGUUUGCUUGCAUUUUAGAUAGACUACUCCUCCCCUGUGUACUGGUCUUUUCAAAUACAUAUAAGCAAAGUGUUUGAUAAACUUAAAUAUUCACUUUUACAAAGGUGGUUUAUCUAAAUACAUGAAAAUACAAAACAUCAUCUACAGACUAUAAAUGGUGACUUAUUGAAAUAUUUUGCUAUAUCUUUCACGGCUGUUGUUUGGUCUUGUCUUUGUAUUGACUUCAAAUGUGUAUUUAUGUUCCCAGGUCAAAGAUAUACUCAUUAGGUCGAUUAGAUAUUGAACUGUUGUAGCUGUAAAUACAAGACCACCAGUGUAUUGUGUCUUUGUGUUUGUUUGUUUGUUUGUUUAUUUGUUUGUUUGUUUUUGCUUUUUCUCUUAUUAGACAACAUCCUCACACCCCUUUCACUGGCUUGACAAGAAAAAAACAGAUCAAAUCCAACCACAAAAAAAAAAAAAAAAAAAAAAAAAACAAGAAGAAAGGAACUGGAGGAUGAAGCCUUUUUGUUCUUACAAAGAUAGCAAUCAGACAAAGACUUCCUUGAGAUGACACUGGUAAUCUUGAAGAAUCUGGCAUCAUCCAAAGUGUUACCUAACCCAUGUCAGGUAACAGAGGAGAUGAUCUGUCAGGGAGAGACAGGAAGCAAGAACGCAUGUCCAACAUUCUCCUUGUCCACUUAAAAGAAACUAUGCUAUCUCUGCCUUCAUCUGUUUUUCAAAAGAGUUGGCUCUCAAGCCUGGAGGCUAUACUCAGGUUCAUCUGAAGUUACAGAGUUAUCUUCCCAUCAGGAUGCAUCAACAGCAAGCUGCAGCACCUUUAGUUAUCGGCACUUCCUCUCAGCUGUUGUCAAGCUGCCAAGGACAUGCUGUCAAAGUAGUUAGGACCUUUGUGUGGCAGGACAGACCCAUCUAAAGACACCCAGAUUUUAAUAAAUUUGUAUCUUGAUGAUGUAAUGGGAAAUUAACAUUACAACAUUACAGCUUGUUUGUAUGGUAAACCAGUAGGAAGCAGCUAUUCAAGCCAUUCAGUUCUGUUCUCAAGCAAAGAAGUAAUGCUUCGUGUGUGUGUGUGUGUGUGUGUGUGUGUGUGUGUGUGUGUGUGUGUGUGUGUGUGUGUGUGUGUGUGUGUGUGUGUGUGUGAAAGGGGGAGUGAGGGACAGAGGAAAAAAAGAGUGAGAGAAAAAAUACGGUCCACUAUCGGUGCAAUAGCGCACUCUGCUGAUAAAUCAAGUUGAAUAACUCUUAAAACUGCGACAAUGCAACAAUACAAACAGAGAUAACACCCAAAGUAAGACCUUAAUACCUACAACAAUGUCGUGGACAUUACGUACACGUUGUUAAAUUUCGUUUGAUGACCGAUCUGUUGGAAAUUGACCAAUUUGUUGGAGUCACAAUCAUGUGUUUCCCGUAAGGGUGACACGUGCUAAAAGGUGUUCCC